UAAGUUUUGUUUUCUUUAGAAAAAUCUAAGUUUGGAACCUGGCAACAUUAUUAUGUCUCGACAUUAUACUGUUGUAGGACGUUUCUGAAGUACGUUUAUAUCGACGGUAACUAUUACUUCGCGUCUUGGAGAAUAAUUAUGAAUACAUUAAAGGCAUUUUCAAAGUGUCAAGGAAUUUCACGUAAUAUUACUACUACUU